rnacentral:rRNA from 1 species
AUUCCCCUAGUAACGGCGAGUGAAGAGGGAAGAGCCCAAGAUUGAAAGCUGGCGUCUUCGGCGUCCGCAUUGUAAUCUCAAGAAGUGUUUUCCGCUUCGGACCAUGCCUAAGUCCCUUGGAAAAGGGCAUCAUAGAGGGUGAUAAUCCCGUACAUGGCAUGGAGCGCCCGAGGCUUUGUGAUACACUUUCUAAGAGUCGAGUUGUUUGGGAAUGCAGCUCAAAAUGGGUGGUAAAUGCCAUCUAAGGCUAAAUAUUGGGGAGAGACCGAUAGCGAACAAGUACAGUGAUGGAAAGAUGAAAAGAACUUUGAAAAGAGAGUUAAACAGUACGUGAAAUUGCCAAAAGGGAAGGGUAGGAGGUCAGAGAUGCGUCUUGGGAUUCAGCCUUGCUUUUGCUUGGUGUUUUUCCCAAGUUGCAGGCCAACGUCGGUUUUGGGCACUGGAGAAGGGUGGAAGGAACGUGGCACCUCUCGGGGUGUGUUAUAGCCUUCUACUGGAUACAGCGACCGAGACCGAGGACAGCAGCGUACUCGCAAGAGCGGGCCUUCGGGCACCUUUACGCUUAGGGCGUUGGCAUAAUGGCCCUCUACCACCCGUCUUGAAACACGGACCAAGGAGUCUAACAUGUAUGCGAGUCUUUGGGUGGCAAACCCAUAGGCGCAAUGAAAGUGAAUUCAGGUGGGAUCCGCAAGGUGCACCAUCGACCGAUCCUCACGUCUUUAAAGUCGUGGAUUUGAGUAAGAGCAUACCUGUUGGGACCCGAAAGAUGGUGAACUAUGCCUGAAUAGGGUGAAGCCAGAGGAAACUCUGGUGGAGGCUCGUAGCGGUUCUGACGUGCAAAUCGAUCGUCAAAUUUGGGUAUAGGGGCGAAAGACUAAUCGAACCAUUUUAAUAAUUACUAGGUGGUUAAGAGGUGGCUAAAAGGGCACACCUAGUGGGCGCUGAAGCUCGCGACACUGUCAAAAUGCGGGGACACCCUAAAGCUUUCAAUACCAAGCCGGCGUGGAAACACAGUCGGUGGCCGAGUUAACAACCCUGGGUAUGGUAAAAACUUGAAAGAUGUUACAAUGGGCAAUCCGCAGCCAAGCUCUAAGGGCGUCAGCCUAUGAGUGCAGUUCACAGACUAGAUGGCAGUGGGUUUCGUCUUUUUUUGGACGAGGCUUAAGAUAUAGUCGGUCCUCUCUCGAAAGGGAGCCGGAGGAAAAAAGAUCGAGGUUCUUCAGCAAUAGACCUCUUUCCGGAGCCUCUGGGAAUUAAUUUUUUCUUUUCUUUUUCGAAAA